AUUCUCUUGAAGAAAUUGGG
rnacentral:snRNA from 1 species